UUCAUUUAUCAUUUGAAAGACUAUCAACUUGUAUCUAAAUUUUGUCGCAUAUGGCCCACGGUCUUAGAAGAACUCUAUUCAUAUAUGUAGUUAAUCAGAUUUCUAUUAAAUAUGUCCCUAAAGUUUCUUAUGAUAUCUGGACAUUAAAGAAAUCAAAUAAAGUCUAACGUAUAGGUGAUAGGUUCCCACGUCACGUAGCUCAUUGAAACUUCUCUUGUAGCAUUCUAGAGAUAUUAAAGAUCAGUGGGAGCAUUAAGUGUCUUAAUAAUAACUUGCAAUAGUUGCAAGAGGUGGGGAGUGAAAAUUUUAAAUUUACACCUCUUGUACAAGACAUCGCUCCAUCACGACACUGUUCUAUCAAACCUUAUCUCCUUAAAUCUAAUGCUACUCUUACAAAAGUUUCAUUGUUGCCUAAUUGUGUGCGCACUUAGAUUUCUUACCUAAAAUAACAUAAUCCUCAACAAGAGAAACUACAACGACUAACGUCAUUAACUUGUUUCUCUAUUAGAAUUUGUUGGUCAUUACAUGUUGACCCUAAGCAUGCUGAGUUCCUAAAGAUUUCUAAGGUCAGUGGGAGCAGUCAAAGUCCUUAUUAUGACUUGCAAGGAAUACAAGAGGCGGGGGGAAGAGUGUCAUUAAAUUCACUCCGAAUUUAACUCCGAUUACACCUCUUGUACACUAUACUGCACCAACUCUUACAAACUUAGAAUGAAAAUGAUAGCAACCUAACCAAGAGCUAAUCCAUAAAAUUGAAACUUCUAAUGAACCCAAUAAUCAACUCAGGAGGUCAUCUAGGUUUAAAAGCCUACUAACUUUGAUGAUUACAUAACCUCCCUAAUUGAAGUUGAAAUGGAUUUUGGAAAUGUUUACUGAUCCUAUCUCUUCAAAUUAAGCCAUUAGUGUAAAUCAAUCAUUUGAAUGGAAUAUAACAGUUUUAUAGUGAAACUGACUUUGUGUGUUCUUAUAACGUUUGGGAUUUGAUUAAGUUACCUAAGAGUGUUCAUGACUAAACCAAAUCCUAAUAUAAGCGUUAAGACACUCAAAAGCAUGAUUGAUUGUCAAAGGUUGUACUCAGGAAGAGAUAAAUUAUUAAAGAAUCUUUAUUGCAUAUCUAACAAAAGAUUUCUUUGAGGAUCAUCACUGUUCUAGUAGCUUAUAAUAGUUUUAAGCUACAUUAGAUGAACAUUAAAACGAUUUUCCCUAAUAAAUGGCUGACACAUUUACAUGUUCAUUAGAUAACAACCUAAAGUUUCAAACUGAAGGUUAAAGAACACUUUGUUUGUAAGCCAAUAAUAUCCAUGUAUGGGUUAAUGCAAACAUCAUAAUGUGAUGAAAAGCUAACGUAAUUAUUUUCAUCAAGAAUCAAGUGGAUUAAUGUACCUACCUCAAGAUGAGUGGGAGCAACUAAAAUAAACUUGUCUAUAUAGAUGACAUUCUUUGACAAGCAUAUGUUACAUAAGUCAAAGCAUUGUUAACACAAACUUUGAUAUAAUAAAACUCAGAGAUAUCUCUUACGUGAUUGAUAUCAUAACAUACUGAGAUAGACCCAAUGGGAUAUUAGUUUCGUUCCAUAAGUUUAACAUUAAAUGGGUCCUUACAUAUGUAACAAUCAAUAUUGCUCUCCUUUAGAGGAUAAUAGGAUAAAUGAGAUUAUUUAUUUAUGCUUCAUUAAUUAGAAGCCUUAUGUAAGUUUAAGUCUAUACUCGUUUAGAUAUUACUCACAUUGCAACACACUAGAUAUGUCUAGAUUAAUGUGUAGCAUCUAAUUGAGUAUUACAAUAUCUUUAAAAGAAACGAGAGACUACAAUUUAAAGAAGAAGUGAGAAUUAAAACCGGUUUAUUACUCUAACUUUGAGAUAUUCAAAGAUGACAAAAUGUAGUUUCGGGUAUAUCUUUAUGUCAGCAGACAAAAACUAUCUCAUGGAAGAGUCAUAAUGCACUAAUAUCAACAACGUAAGUUAUAACGACAUAAUAUAGUCACUAAAUGUUGUUGGAAAUUUAUCAGUGGACUCGUAAGUUUAUUAACUCCAUAUAAUUAAUGUUUUGAAGAAUUAGUGUGAUAAAGUCAGCUACCAUUACUCCUUGAACAGUAACAGUUCAAGAGGUGCUGCAUUAAGUUUCGAUACGCAAUUAAUUAUUCGUUUAUGAACGAAUUGAGGAAACUAAGUUUUGUAUCGAAUACAUUCAUGAUAUGCUUAAGGAUCCUAUAACUGAAGGGCUAUUACCCAUAAGUCUUAUUAAGAGAGCUCAUAGACGGGUAUUAAUUAAUAGUCGUGCGCAAUUGCAUAUCGUACUAUGAAUGACUAAGUAUUAGUUAAUUUUCCUCAUCAGUUUGAUUUUGUAUGUCUCUAAGAAUAUGUCAAGCUAGCAUAAUGGCAUAUAGACAAAUAUAGUUACAAAUCAAACAAAGGGCUUACGCGUAUUUUGAUCAUAACGAUUAGGUUUUAAAUUAAGGCUAUAGUAUGAUUAAUGGGGGUCCUGAGUUGCAUAAUGAUUCAACGGCUGUAUUUUUCUGCUAUAGUACUUGUUUAAGGCUAAAAUGAGUGUUAACUCCUGAUCAGGCUUAUCUAAUACUCAUAGUAAAUGAUUACUCGGCCAAGUGGGAGAAUGUAAGAAUAAAUAAAUAAUAUAUUUAUUUAUAUAUGGCCAUUAUAAUCAUUUACAUUAUAUGGAUCAAAAUAUAUAACAAUCCAUUAAAUAAUUAGUUGGUAAUUGUUGAUGGGCCUUAUUACCAUUAUUAACUAAUUAGGGUUUCCUCCUGGGUGCAUAUAUAAGGAGACUUAUUUUGAGGUUCUAGGGUUAGACUCAUAACCUAAUUACUCAUAACAUCAAAUCGACCUCCAUCUCCAUAACCGAACUCCCUUAUUCGGUUUCUUCAUCACCAUCAUUAGAUUGCACCCUAAGGAGGAACCAGACCAAACUGACAACUAUGUCAAACACUGUUGCUACAUCUCCAUCUGGAUUCUCUGCUGGCUUGUGCUGAUGCAAUCAGAUAUGUUUGGAGGUGAAUCUUUCUCAGCUAUGUUCUUUUCGGUCGAAUUCAACAACACUGAACCAUCACAUCCCUACAAAAUUAAAUAUUUAGCAAUCAAUAAUUAAUAAAUUUGUUAUACUGAAUUGACACUACAAUAGCCCGAUCACCCGGGUAAAUCCAAUGGCAAAAGGCCAUCCAUGUCUGCGAACUGGCCCGCCACCAUUCCAGAGAAAACCCAUCGCCCGAGGCCCACUGUGUAAAACCUCUGGCUCAUCAUAGAACAAUUUUGCACCAGGCAAGAACUCUUGACCUCCACUUUAGAUGGCCAUGUUUCGAUUGUCAUUACAACGGGUAUUUUACAAGGGCGACAUCUUCUCGAUCGCCUUUAUUUUUCUUUUUCCGUUUUCAUUUAAUAUUAAAUCUAGAUUUUCUCUAAUAUUAACAUGUAGUAUCCAAUAUUUUAAUUAAAAAUAAAUACUAAGAUUUGUUUCAUGUUUUCUGUCAGUGUUUUGAUGUAAAAUUUUGAAAUAUUGUAUGUUAAAAAAAUAUGUUAUUUUGAAUACAAAUAAGACUAUUUUUAAAUAAAACAUACAUUGAGCAGACAUAAAUUUUUUUUUCAAAAUGUCACACAUAACAUGUUAUUAGAAAAAUUAAUUAGAUCU
rnacentral:lncRNA from 1 species